GAUUAACGCUGGCGGCGUGCUUAACACAUGCAAGUCGAACGAUGAAACUUAAAUUAUUUCUUCGGAAUGAACUUAAGUGGUUUAGAGGCGGACGGGUGAGUAACGCUGGAGUAACCUGCCUUACACAAGGGGAUAGCCGUUGUGAACGAUGAAUAAUACCCUAUUAAACUAUCACUUCGCAGGAAGCGAUAGUAAAAGUGUUAGCGGUGUAAGAUGGAGUUGCGUCUGAUUAGCUAGUUGGUGAGAAAAAAGCCCACCAAGGCAACGAUCAGUAGCCGGCUUGAGAGAGUGUACGGCCACAUUGGGACUGAGACACGGCCCAGACUCCUACGGGAGGCAGCAGUGGGGAAUUUUGCACAAUGGGGGAAACCCUGAUGCAGCGACGCCGCGUGAUUUAGAAGGCCUUCGGGUUGUAAAAAUCUUUUGUAUAGGAAGAAAAUGACAGUACUAUACGAAUAAGGUCCGGCUAAUUACGUG
rnacentral:rRNA from 1 species